CCCGUACCGUACUGCUUUUCUGCUUUUCACUUCUGGUUCCUUCUUCUGCAAGCCGAAUGCAUUUUGGAGGUUGUUUUGAAUUCUCGUUGACGCAGAACUGGUUGUUUCUGUGUUUUUUUUUUUUUUUUUCCCUUCAUCUCCCCCAAAUCUCUUCCUCUACCUGUUGGCCGGUUUGCUCUACACCGACCAAGUCCUCUGCACACGACAUUAUCCUCUGCUUCAUACGGUCUCAGAUAAAGUCAUUAACAGAUAUAACCGGACGUUGGACCCGACUUCAUGAACGAAUGGUUCUGAGAUGGAGAAAGGGAAAGGGAAAGAGCAUGCAUCUCCUAUAACGCCUCUUGCCACUAAUCCAUCAAUUAAUCCAUCAACUCAGGUGAUACCGAGACCAUUUUUUACAUAUUUGUCAACACCUCCUACCACAAAUGCAUCUAUCAAUCCAACAACCCAGGU